CUUCAUGUAUGAAGAGCUACCUAUUCCUGUUUUCUUCAUUUAUGUAGGUAUGCAUAUGACUGAAGAUGACUAAACAGGACAUUCUUCAGUUAUACUUAUACAGAAAGGAGUUCCGGCCUAUACUGCUCCACAACCAGAAGAGGCAAUGACUGCUCUCAAACAAAGAGCUUCGGAGUUGGGUAUCUCUCUCCAAGUCGUUG